AGAGAGAGAGAGAGAGAGAGAUGAGUUCAAGUUCUCAGUUUGCUGCGCCGUCCGGUGCCAUCGUCGGCCCACAGUUCUGCGUUCCGUAUCGGAUCGACCUCACGUUCUUCAUCGAUGCCGCCAAGUGUGACCACCUCACAGAGACCGACAUCAACGGCAACGUCGUCUUCAAGGUCGAAGCCCAUAAGUGGAGCCUCAGAAACAGGCAGGUGGUCGUCGACGCCUCCGGCAAGCCUGUGAUUUCGAUGCAGCAGAAGGUCCACAUCCUCAUCUCUGCUUCGCUUCCUUCUUUCUGCAAAGUCCAAGACGUUGACUCUGGUCGUUCUGUCAUGCAGCUGAGCAGCAUCCAUGACCGGUGGCAAGUCUUCAAGGGAAAUAGCUCAGAUCCUAAGCAUAUGCUGUUUAGCGUCAAGAGGAGUUCUGCACUCCAAUUCAAGACCGAGUUGGACGUGUUCUUAGCUGCCAACACCGAGGAGGAGGUGUGUGACUUCCUUCUCGUGUCUCCCACACAUCCAACUUCUCGUGUCUCCCACACAUCCAACUUUGGCUGUUCCGUCAUGCAGCUGCGUAGCGUCAAUGACCGGUGGCAGGUCUUCAAGGGAGAUAGCUCUGAUCCUAAAUAUCUGCUGUUUAGCGUCAAGAGGAGUUCUUCUCCCCAAGUCAAGACCGUGUUGGAUGUGUUCUUAGCUGCCAACAUCAAGGAAGAAAUCGUAAGAUGAUAAUAGAGACACUUCAACAACUAAAUUCUCAGAACUUAUAUAUAUAUUAUUCAAUAAAAUAUUAUUCUCUGAUUAUAAAAAGAUAAAUUCAAUACUUUGACUCGAUAGUAACUCCUCUCUUGAUUAAGACUUUUAAACUAAGAUCCUAUCUAAUCGCAAAGCUUGAUUUAAUAUUUGAAUAUAUUCUCUUAGAUUAAAGUUUGUAAAAAAUUUUAUGAAAAGCCUUAAAACUUGAUGCAAUCUUAUGUUGUUGCUAUGCGUAAUGGUUUUUAGAAUAUCUAAAUUCUUAACCAUGUAUUCCAUAAUAGUUUUUGAUGUGCUCGAUUUAUUCUAUCUUACCUGUUCUAAUCAAUUGUAAAACUUUGAUUUGUUUGGAAUCUUAGCUUUCUUGAACCAAUCCCUAGAUAUAAAAUCAAACAUAAAUAUCAGACUUUUUUCGUUAUAGAAUAUUUAUCAGAUUUUAUAAUUUUUUUUAUUUUGAUCAACAACUUAUUUUGAUAGGUUAACGAUCAACUUUCUAAAAUUUUCUUUUUCUAUAGAGAGGUAAAAUAUAUUUAUGUUUUUGAUGGAAAUUAAAUUAUCUAAUCCAACAUAAUCAUCUACUUCAAUAAAAUUAAUAUUAUGCAUAUGGUAGAUUGUAUUUUGUACAAUCUAAACGUCUUGUAUCUUAGUAAGAAUGUAAUUGAAAAAUCUAUCAUAUACGAUGAGUUAUCUUCAUUAAAAUUUUCUAUUAAGAUAUUUUCAUUUUCUUCUACUUAUAUAUCAUGUAUUUUUUUUUUUUACUUCAAACAAUAUAGAAGGAUAUAUACCUCUUUUAUAAAUAUCUUUUAAAAUUAAUGAGACUUCUGUCUUAAUUCUAUAGAUUCUUAAAAUAAGAUUUUCAUCUAGUAUUAAACGUGAGAUCAGCUUUAGUACUCUUUUAUCAUCUAUUAUUUUUCGGAGAGUAAUACACAAUCUAUAUCAUUUAUCAUAUUUUUACAAAAAGUAAUAAAAAAUUUAUAUAAUUUAUUAUAGUUUUAAAUAAUCGAAGAUAAUUUUUUUUAAACUUUCUGAGACGAGAAAAUAAUAAUGAGAUCUAAAAUAACAUAUAAAAGUCAUUAUCCAUACCUUCAAUCUUUUCUUUUGUAUGCGAAUUAAUUUUUCUAUUGACUGUCUUUAUCCUAUUAUAAUCUAAUUUAUCGAUUGCGUUUUUUAUUAUCUCCUCCUAUUUUAUAAUUGUCAGAUCUACUUCUCGGCUACAUUGUUAUUGAUUCUUAACUAUAUUAUCUUAAGAUCUAAUUUCUCUUUCUAAUAAUUUAUUUGUUUUUUUCUAGAAUUUUCUAUCUCCUUAGACUUUCUAUAUCUAUUAUUUCUCUCUCUUAUGAUUUUCUCUAUACAACUAUUUAUCUCUCUAAUAUAUUUAUUUUCUCCCCGUAACAAAUCUAGUUCUCUCUCUAAUGAGACCUUAUUUAAGGCUCUAAUUGUUGAAUCUCAGAUUUUGAUAAUAAAAUCAAUUGGUAGAGUUUAUAAUCUAAUUUAUGUUUUGAGUAACGCAAAACUAGCUUAGAUAACGAAGAGACAAUUAAGAAUUAAUUUUGAGCCACAGUGGAACAUGCCAAAAGAUUAGACGUUAAACCGGAGGAUCAGUCAAUGUGUCGAUAGAAGGCUUCGUGCCAUGAGUUCUGGUAUCAGACCUAGAAGAGCGGAAAUUGGGCCAAAGAGAUCGAAGUUGCAGAGGUCAACAUAUCGAUUGAUCAAAAAGCCACGAAAGAGGACGAUGUGCCAAAGGAUUAGACAAAGCGCCGAUGAACCAAUGACAUGUCGGACAACAUGUGAUUAAUGCUUUGUAAUAAUUGUCUAGAUCGAAGUAAUUUUAAGUUGUAAUUGGGUUGGAAUUAGGCCAACUCAAUUAGGGGCCCAUUGGGCUUAAGUUAGAAUUAAAUUGGGCUUGAUGGAUGGCUCACUCGGCCACUUAGAGUCAUGCUAAGCGGUGGCACCGCCCACGUUGGGUAGUGGAACUGCUUGAGGCUCAACCUCCCAGCGGUACUGUCGGUAGUUAAUGUUGCAAAGCAAUGGUACCACUAGAGGCUAGUCUCGAAAGCUCUGUCAUGUGGUGGUUCCGCCUAGUAUCUACUAGGCGGUGGGUAUCAUGAAGACCUAGGAUGAGACUAGUUUUGGCUCCAAGUUUGAAUCCAUUUGGGACCUAUAAAUACCUCUCUCAUCCUUGCUCAGAAUACUCAACUCAAGAAUUGAGAACAAAAACAAGGAAAAACUCUAUUGUAAUAUUGUGAGAGUUCUCCUUCUCUAGUCUAAGUGUUGAUUUCUAUUUAAGAGAGGAGUGAAUGAGGGUGUAAAGGUUUUCUAUUGAGCUUGUAAAAAGGAGAAUAGAGUUGUCAAAAGGAGAAUAGAGCUUGUCAUCCCCCAUCGAAGGAAGACCAUUAGUGGAUGCCGGUAGCCUUGACGGAAAAGAAAUCGGUAGUGGAUGUAGGUCACGACGACCGAACCACUAUAAAUUGGUGUGCUUUCUUUCUUCGCUGCCAUUUACUUAGUUUGCAAUUGCUUUACUUCCUCUUAUGAACGUUUUUAAAGUUAAACACUUUUUAAUAUGGUUUUAUCGUACGAAGUUUCGAAUUAUCGACGUAAUUUUAUGUACGCACUAAUUCACCCACUCUCUUAGUGCCAACUCGAUCAUAACACUAAUGCCUUAUUGAAAAAUCUCUUCAUGAGAUGAUUGGCAUCAAUAAAUCAUAUGGUAUAAUAGAAAAAAAAAAUAAAAAUAUUUUAAAAAUUAAAAACUCAUAUUAAACAUGUUAACUUAUAAUCUCUCGAACCUUGAAUAUAAUCAAGACACUUCUACCUCAUCACUUCUCUCAUUGUUGUUAAAUCAUUAUAUGAACCCUUUGUUAAUAGAAGGAUAAUUCAAAACUAUGAUAUGUACUUCGUAAGGCUUGAAGGUUCAUGAAAGACUUGGGUUGCAGUUCUUUUCAUCUUCCUCCUUUUGGGUUGUUGUGGAUUGGCCACAAAUUGCGAUGUCAGAACAAACAUGGUUGUAGUUCUUUUAUCCUCCCUCUGCAGUAUUAAAGGCUAAGCAAUGGACUCUCUGACAUGCACUGUCGACAUUACCAAUCAUUAUUAUGUAAAGCAGGAGGUAGGUAAAAGUCGUCCAAGGAUCCAUCAAACAUUAUUUUCUUACAACAUAAGACUUGCACCGUUGACGACACUAUCUGCUGAAUGCCACAAGCAAUUUGCCAUACAGCUGCAUGACAUGGUUCUUGCAAACAAGCAUGACAAGAUUCCCACGUACUUGAGUUUACAGAACCAGACCACAGGACAUAAACCAUCCCGACCUCGAGAAGGGAUGCAGGAGGCACACGGAGGGCCACAUCAGGCCAGGUGGUGGUGGUGGUGGCGGUGGUGGUGCAGCAGGGGGGAGGUGCCAACACGAUGCUCCAGUUCCACACCGACGAUGCUACGGGGGCCAAGAUGUCUCUCCCAAUACUCUUCUCUUUAUGAGCAUCGGAUUCAUUGCUGUUGUUGCUCUUCUGCAUUGUCGUCGGUAAACUCUAUUUUGUUCCUCACUAGACCUCUAUUUUGAUAUCCUUAAAGGUGCACGCACUCUUGAUUUGAGCAAAACAUAGACUGGUAGGCAAUGUGACAAAUUUAUUAUCAGAAUCUGCAGCAUUUUCGUUCUAUAAUUGACAUUACAUGCAGCAUACUUAUUAUUUUCAAGUCAGUCCAACCUUCUGUUAGUGUUGAAUUUGUUUGUGCUUGUCAUCAGAAUGUUGAAUAUUAUUGUGAAUGAAGUAAGCCAUUGAAUUGUGAUGAGGGCGACGAGGGGGAACUAUGAAUUGUUUUUUAUAGUAAGUGAUAGAAGAUAAGAUUUUCCCAACUUGAUAGAAGAUAAGAUUUUCCCAACUUGAUAGAAGAUAAGAUUUCCUCAAUUAUAUGAGGAAAUCCUUCCUCCUAUCUGUAAGAGAGAACAUGUUAAUAUAUUCAAGCUAAAGUAAGCGAAGCUUCGCUCUUGUCUUUGGCCAGCGACCAACGCCGUUGAGAAAAGUGAAGCUUCGCCAACAAUCACUCACGAAGCCUCUCGCUUUAAACCAUGCAUCAAUCCAAGAUUAGAUUUGUAUCCUUGUCAAACUUGAUAGAAGAUAAGAUUUCUUCAUUUUUACAAUAAAGCUUCUUCAAUUAUUGUUAUUAUCUUCUAUUGACCGAGAAACACGGUUUGACCAUGGAUCCACUCGCCCACCGAAAGAUAAUUCCACUUGCAACCACAUAUGUCGAUUCAUUUGUACGCCAACAACACAACGACUGAAACGAGAGUGAGAGAGAGAGAGAGAGAUGGGUUUAUUAAUUUCUAAGUUUGCUGCCCCGUCCGGCGCCAUCGUCGACCCGCGGUUCUGCGCGUCGUACCCGAUCGACCUCACGUUCUUCAUCGACGCCGCCUGGUUGAACUGUGACCACCUCGCGGUGACCGACAUCAACGGCAACGUCGUCUUCAAGGUCGAAGCCCAUAAGUGGAGCCUCAGAAACAGGCAGGUGGUCGUCGACGCCUCCGGCAAGCCUGUGAUUUCGAUGCAGCAGAAGGUCCACCUCCUCAUCUCUGCUUCGCCUCCUUCUUUCUGCAAAGUCCAAGACGUUGACUCUGGUUGUUCUGUCAUGCAGCUGAGCAGCAUCCAUGACCGGUGGCUAGUCUUCAAGGGAAAUAGCUCAGAUCCUAAGCAUCUGCUGUUUAGCGUCAGGAGGAGUUCUGCUUUCCAAUUCAAGACCGAGUUGGACGUGUUCUUAGCUGCCAACAAGGAGGAGGAGGUGUGUGACUUCAAGAUCAAGGGAAGCUUCCGCAACAGAUCAUGCACUGUGUACAAGGGCGACUAUUCCAUGGUGAUCGCGCAGGUACUUACCUUCUCCAGAAUAAACUGUACAGCACACGGAUCUCAGCAGCUUUAGAUUUAGAUCAAAGCAUUGAUUGCAAGUUUUAUGUGGAGUUGAAUGGUUAGAAUUGUGUGAUAUGUGUUGAGAAGAAACAUGUUAAAGCGGAAUAAUUCUUUCCCUCUUUGUGUAUUAAAAUAGGCUCUUCAUCAAAAUACUAACUUAAUAUCCAAAUGAAAAUAUCAACCAGCACAGCAUAAACAAUAGAGCAAAACUCAAUCACACAGUGAGACCAAAUCUUUUUAACAUGAAAAACUCAAUAUGGGAAAAACCACGAGAUCGUAGUCCACCUCAAACUUCCAUUAUCAAUAAUAAUGAUAACAGGUUUACAAUAGGUAUUCUCUAGAAUAACUAGAGGAUCAGAAUAACAUCAAGAUCAUAGAUCUUGGCUCAAGAACAACAUAUCUUCAUCAUGUAGAUGGAUCUCCUCAAAAGAGAAUUCUAGGUCUCACAAAGUAGAUAUCAUAGGAAAGUACCUUAGAGAGGGUAAACUGUAGAUCAAUACCGUUAGGAUUGUAGAGUUUGCUACAAGGAUUCUCCACAUAAAAUUUGGGUCAAAACUGACAACGUUUGGCCACCGAUCGUCAAGCAGAAAACUCAUAAACCUAAUCUUUCUCUCUCUCUCUCUCCUCUUUCCUCUGCACGUCGCCGCACGCUCACUGUCCAUCCGCACGCUCACUGUCCAUCCGCACGUUCACUGUCCAUCCGCACGCUCACUGUGCAAUCUCACAGCGCACACUGCAAUCUCUGUCAUCACCCAAUUUUGCUCUUUCUCUCUUUCUCUAAUUUGGGCUCGAACAACCCAAUUUGUCCAAGCUCACAUAUGGGCUGUACCCAACAAUUCUCCCCCUCCAGCUCAUAUGGUGGGCUGUACCAAGCCCGCUCUUCGCCUACAUGCUUCAAGCUUCUCCUUAAGCAAAGACUUUGUCAAUAUAUCUGAACCAUUCUCAUCGGUAUGCACCUUUUCCAACUGUAUUUCUUUCAUCUCAAGCACAUCAUGAAUCCAGUGAUAUCUCACAUCAAUAUGCUUGGAUCUCGAUUGGUAUGUUGAAUUCUUGGAGAGGUGAAUGACGCUCUGACUGUCACACUAAACAGUAUAUCCUUCCUGUUUCAAGCCCAAUUCCUGUAGAAACUUUUUCAUCCAUAAAGCUUCCUUGCAGGCUUCAGUAACUACUAUGUAUUCUGCUUCUGUGGUUGAUAGAGCAACACACUUCUGUAACUUAGACUGCCAAGAGACUGCUCCUCCUGCAAAUGUCAUCAAGAAUCCUGAAGUGGACUUCUUGGAAUCAGUAUCACCUGCCAUGUCUACAUCUGUGUAGCCUUCUAACACAGGUUCAUCACUGCCAAAAUAUAAACACAACCUGGAAGUACCUCUUAGAUAUCUUAAUAUCCAUUUCACUGCUGCCCAAUGUUCCUUUCCAGGAUUAGAGAGAAAUCGGCUGACAACUCCAACUGCAUGAGCUAUAUCUGGCCUAGUACAAACCAUAGCAUACAUCAAACUGCCUACUGCAGAUGAGUAAGGCACUCUGGACAUUUCUUCUUUUUCUUUCUCACUUGUAGGACAUUGUUUCGAACUAAGCUUGAAAUGACCUGUAAGUGGGGAACAAACUGCUUUGGCUUUACUUAUGUUGAAUCUUUCAAGAACCUUUUCAAUGUAAGUCUCCUGAGAUAGCCAAAUCUUCCUUUUCUUCCUAUCACGAAGAAUCUUCAUGCCAAGUAUUUGUUUCACCGAUCCUAAGUCUUUCAUGGCAAAAGACUUACUUAACUCUCUUUUAAGCUUUCCAAUUUUUCCAACAUUAUGGCCAACAAUCAACAUAUCAUCAACAUAUAGCAGUAAAAUAAUAAAAUCAUCAUCUGAAAAUUUCUUCAUAAACACACAAUGAUCAGAUGUGGUUCUAUCGUACCUUUGACUCAUCAUAAAGGAAUCAAACUUCUUAUACUACUGUCUAGGUGCCUGUUUGAGUCCAUAUAAGCUUUUCUGUACAGCACACGGAUCUCAGCAGCUUUAGAUUUAUUUCAAAGCAUUGAUUGCAAGUUUUAUGUGGAGUUGAAUUGUAAGAAUUGUGUGAUAUGGCGAUGCAGAUGAGCAAAGAAUACAAAUUAGUGAAUGGAUUGGUAUCCAAGGAUGCUUUCGGGGUGGCCGUCAACCCAAACACCGACUACUCCUUCAUUACUGCUCUGACCAUCAUUCGAUAUAAGUUCUUUAAAAAAGACACUGGAAUCUCUGAUGUAAUCUCUGAUGUAAUCUCUGUUGUAAGCUCAAAUGGAAUCUCAACUGCACUCAUAUCUGCAAUCUCAGCUGCACUAGGUGGAUCCUAAUUCUCCAUGCCUGCUAGUAUAACAGCGAGUGACUUCCUCUGCAGCAUGAAACCACAGAUGGAUACUUGGUGAAGACUUGGAUGUUCAUGGGAGACUUGGGUUGUAGUACUUAAUCUUAUGUUCCUCCUUUUGUGUUAUCGUGGGAUGGCUAUAUAUGUAUGAAAGAUUAUAGUUUGUAAGAUUAUAGUAGUUUGCACCGCAGCUGAACCUGUUUAGAGAUCAUAUAUAUGUAUAACAGGGAAGUGAAAGUGAGGUGGAUAUUGGGUCUCUUCUCAGCCCUAUGCACUGUUUAGAGAUCAUACAUAAAGCUUGUUUGAAGAGCUCACUGCCACUUCUUUCAAGCAUUGAAGAUUCAUGUUUCCUGAUCUUUUCGGUGUUCUGUUUAUCCUUUUUGUUAUUAGGAGAUUUAUGUGUAUCUUUUGAUUAGGAAUCUCAACUAAAUAUUAUAGCUGAUCAUGCUUUUUCAGUGGACAAAAGAAAAUGAAAGCUACUUGACAUCGUCAAGACUGAAGAAGGACCCCUUUCUUUGUUUUGUGCCUCAGAUUUAUUAGGCUUGUCUGCUUGCACUGACCCACUCUCUGAAGAGGUCUUUGAGAGAUGACGGGCUAAUUUUCUAUUGCCUCCUCACUUGAGUUUGUGUCUCAUGUCAUCUAUUUGCGUCAUACCUUCAACAAAUACUUGAAACGAUCCACUUGAUCUUUAUCCACCAAUUCAGCUGUAAGAGAGAGAGAGAGAUAAGAUGAUGCAAUCGAGUAGUCGGACUUCUCGGCCCGACGCCAUCGUCGACACGCGGUUCUGCGCUUCGUACCCGAUCGACCUCACGUUCUUCAUCGGCGCCUCCUGGUUGAACUGUGACCGCCUCGCCGUGACCGACACCAACGGCAACGUCGUCUUCAAGGUUGUAGUCCGCAAGCGGAGCCUCAGAAGCUGGCAUGUAGUCGUCGACGCUUCCGGCAAGCCUGUGAUCUCGAUGCGGGAGAAGGUCCACCUUCUCACGUCUGCCACACAUCCAACUUUGGCUGUUCCGUCAUGCAGCUGCGUAGCGUGCAUGACCGGUGGCAGGUCUUCAAGGGAGAUAGCUCUGAUCCUAAAUAUCUGCUUUUUAGCGUCAAGAGGAGUUCUUCUCUCCAAGUCAACACCGUGUUGGAUGUGUUCUUAGCUGCCAACAUCAAGGAAGAAAUCGUAAGAUGAUAAUAGACACUUCAACAACUAUAUUCUCAAACCUCAUCCUCAUAUAUAUAAAUAUAAAUAUAAAUAUAUAUAUAUAUAUAAUAAAUAUUCCCAUUUGAAUUUAUAAUAAAAUAUUAUUCUGUUAUUAUAAAAAGAUAAAUUCAAUACUUUGACUCGAUAGUAACUCCUCUCUUGAUUAAGACUUUUAAACUAAGAUCCUAUCUAAUCGCAAAGCUUGAUUUAAUAUUUGAAUAUAUUCUCUUAAAUUAAAGUUUGUAAAAAAAAAUUAUGAAAAGCCUUAAACUUGAUGCAAUCUUAUGUUGUUGCUAUGCGUAAUGUUUUUUAGAAUCUUUAAAUUCUUAACCAUGUAUUCCAUAAUGGUUUUUGAUGUGCUCGAUUUAUUCUAUCUUAUCUGUUCUAAUCAAUUAUAAAACUUCUAUUUGUUUGGAAUCUUAACUUUCUUGAACCAAUCCCUAAAUAUGAAAUCACUCAUAAAUAUCAGACUUUUUUUUGUUAUAGAAUAUUUAUCAGAUUUUAUAUUUUUUUAUUUUGAUCAACAACUUAUUUUGAUAGGUUAACGAUCAACUUUCUAAAAUUUUCUUUUCCUAUAUAGAGGUAUGUUAGGAUCGGAGCUGCACUAAGGGGGGGGUGAAUUAGUGCAGCGAAUUAAAACUUGUAAGUUCAAAAAUGGUUCCGUAAAAUGCAAAGAGAUUUCACUUUGAUUGUAACUUGAGUAAAGGAAAAAAAUCGGAAAUGAUUGCAGAAAGAUAAGUAAUCACAAAUUAAAUGAACACGUCAAUUUAAAGUGGUUCGGUCAAAUGAUCUACAUCCACUUGCGAAGCCUUCUUCAACGAGGCUCUCAACUUUCACUAGCAAAUCACUUUGAAGGAGAAGGACUAAUACCCCUCUUACAACCUUUACAAGUGGUUCACACUCUUACAAUUUUUUCAACAAGAAGGAAGGAGGUGAACACUCAAGCAAUUUGAAAACAAGACUUGCUAAGACUUUGCUAAGGCUCUUAUCUUAAACUAUUGCUUUGCAAAAGUUGUAUACUCUGCUGAGAAUUGAGGGGUAUUUAUAGGCUCCAAGAGGAUUCAAAUUUGGGCUCCAAAUUUUGAAUUAUCUUGGGUUUCCGAGACUGACGGUACCACCGCCUGUCAAUGUCUGUCAGACGGUGUACUGGCGGUGCCACCGCCUGAUCUCAGGUGCUGGGCGGUGCCACCGCCUGGUCUGGCGAUGCCACCGCCUGACACUUCGGGCUCUGGGCGGUGCCACCACCCAAUCCGACGGUUCCAUCGCCCAUCCUUACUGAUCUCUGGUUAGGCUUCAAGUCCAUCCCAAACCAGGUCACUUUUGGGCCCAAUUGGCCCUUAACAAGGAUAUAGGAUUAUCCUUUAAUCCUAACCCUAAUUACAUGUGAACUACGUACCUAAAAACAUAAUCCUAAGCAAGUUUUUAACCGGCAAACGUCGAGUCUUGUUCCAGUGAGCUUUUCGACGAUCUUCCGGCGGACUUCCGAUACGCUCUCUGGUUUCUUCCGACGGACUCCCAGCAGGCUCCCGAUCUUGUGACGAAUUCAACGAGUAGCCGAGCCUUCUCGGUGAUCUCUGCGAACUUCUGACAAUCUCUUCGGCAUACUUCUGAAAGUUUCGACAUGUCUCCGAUCUUUCUUGGUUGGUUCCCACAUCAUCUCCGAUGAAACUUCGGACUCUCAAACAUCCAUGGAACUUGACUCCAGUAUCCUUGCUUUAUGUUUUUAGGCUAUCGUAGUUAAUCCUACACACUUAACUUCAAUAUUAUGGAUUAGAUCAAUUAACCCAUCAAUUGAUUUCAUCAUCAAAAUUCGAGAUUCUACGAGGUAAAAUAUAUUUAUGUUUCUGAUGGAAAUUAAAUAAUCAAAUCCAACAUAAUCAUCUACUCCAAUAAAAUUAAUAUUAUGCAUAUGGUAGAUUGUAUUUUGUACAAUCACAACGUAGGAAUGUUAUUGAAAAAUCUAUCAUAUCUGAUGAGGUAUCUUCAUUAACUUUUUCUAUUAAGAUAUUUUCAUUUUCUUCUACCUAUAUAUCAUGUUUUUUUUUUUUUACUUCAAACAACAUAGAAGGAUAUAUACCUCUUUUAUAAAUAUCUUUUAAAAUUAAUGAGACUUCUGUCUUAAUUCUAUAGAUUCAUGAAAUAAUAUUUUCAUCUAGUAUUCAUAAAUUAGUACUCCUUUAUCAUCUAUUAUUCUUCGGAGAGUAAUACAAAAUCUAUAUCGUUUAUCAUAUUUUUAUAAAGAGUAAUAAAAGUUUUAUAUAUUUUAUUAUAUUUUUUUAAUAAUCGAAGAUAAAUUUCAUUUAAACUUUUUGAUAUGAGAGAAAUAAUAACGAGAUCUAAAAUAACAAAUAAAAGUCAUUAUCCAGACCUUCAAUCUUCUCUUUUGUAUGCAAAUUAUUUUUUCUAUUGAACAUCUCUAUCAUAUUAUAAUCUAAUUUAUCCAUUGCAUUUUGAUUAUCUCCUCUAAUUGUCGGAUCUACUUCUCGUUGAUAUUCUAAUUAAUUCUUAAUUAUAUUAUCUUAAGAUCUGAUUUCUUUUUCUAAUAAUUUAUUUCUCUUCCGUUUCUUCCUAGGGUUUUCUCUCUCCUUAGACUUUCUAUCUCUAUUAUUUCUCUCUCCUAUGAUUUUCUCUAUAUAAUUAUUUAUCUCUCUAAUAGACUUAUUUUCUCUCUCUAAGAGGUCUAAUUCUCUCUCUAGUGAGAUAUUGAUUAAGGUUCUAAUUUUUGAAUCUGAUGAUGAAACCAAUUAAUAUAGUUUAUGAUCUAAUAUAUGUUUUGAGUAACACAGGACUAGCUUCGAUCAUAAAGAAAUAAUUAAAGUAAGAAAAUUUAAUGUUGAGCCGGAGUGGAACAUAUCAGAAGAUUGGACGUCAAACCGGAGGAUCGGUCAAUGUGUUGGCAGAAGGCUUUGUGCCAUGAGUAAUCGAGCCUAGAAGAGCAGACAUUGCACUAAGGAGAUCGGAGUUGCGGAGGUCAACAUGUCGAUUGGGCAAGAGGCCGCAAAAGAGAACGAUGUGCCAAAGGAUUUGACGAAACGCCGAUAAACCAAUGAUAUACCGGAUAAUAUGUGAUUAAUCCUUUAUAAUAAUUGUCUAGCUUGAAGUAGUUUAAGUUGUAAUUGGAUCGCCAACUCAAUUAAUAAUCCCUCAAAUCUCGAAUAUGUAAACAUGAUCAAGACUCUAUCUUAUUUCUUCUCUCAAUGUAGUCUAACCAUUCGUUAAUAGAAGGAUAAUUCAAAACUAUGAUAUGUACUUGGUAAGACUUUUAAGCCAAAAUCCCAUCUAAUCACAUAAUUUUCUCGCCUUUAGAUUUGGAUCAAAGCUUACGGUUCUUCCAACAUUCGAUUACAUGAAAUGGAACUUAGUGAUAUUGGCAUUCACUUCUGGAUGCAAAAAAGGCUUGUGGAAGAUAGGUGGUCUAGUUCAAUAUAUAAUCAUUUUUAUGCUGAAAUCAUGUUUGAUAUCAGUCGAUCCGAAAGGCCACUCUGUUAAUGUGAGGAAUUAAGGUAGGUUUGGCUUAGAAACCAUUGCAAGUUGAUAGAAUUGUGUGACAUGUCAAUGCAGAUGAGCAAAGAAUACAAAUUAGUGAACAGCUCAGUAUCCAAGGAUGCUUUCGGGGUGGCCGUCAACCCAAACACCGACUUCUCCUUCAUUACUGCUCUGGCCAUAAUUCGACAUGAGUUCUUUAAAGUAGACGCUGUAACCUCUGAUGAAAUCUCAUUUGCAAUCUCAGCUGCAGUAGGUGGAUCCUAAUUCUCCAAGCCUGCUAGUAUAACAACGAGUGACUUCCUCUGCAGCAUGAAACCACAGAUGGAUACUUGGUGAAGACUUGGAUGUUCAUGGAAGACUUUGGUUGUAGUACUUAAUCUUAUGUUCCUCCUUUUGUGUUAUUGUGGGUUGGCUAUAUAUGUAAGAAUUGAUAUUUAUUGCACCGCAGCUGAACCUGUUCAGAGAUCAGGAAAGUAAAAGUGAGGUGGAUAUUGGGUCUCUUCUCAGCCCUAUGCACUGUCUAGAGAUCAUACAUGAAGCUUGUUUGAAGAGCUCACUGCCACUUCUUUCAAGCAUUGAAGAUUCAUGUUUCCUGAUCUUUUCAGUGUUCAGUUUAUCCUUUUUGUUAUUAGGAGAUCUAUGCGUUUCUUUUGAUUAGGAAUCUCAACUAAAUAUUAUAGCUGAUCAUGCUUUUUCAGUGGACUAAUUCCACCUUUCCCCCUAAAGAAAACGAAAGCUAAUUGACAUCGUCAACACUGAAGAAGAACCUCAGAUUUAUUAGGUUUGUCUGCUUGCACUGAUGCACUCUCUGAAGCGGUCUUUGAGAGAUGAUGGGCUACUUUUCUUUUGCCUCCUCACUGGAGCUUGUGGCUCAUAUCAUCUAUUGCGUCAUCUUAAACAAAUACUUGACUCGAUCCAGUCUUCCGCUUGAUCUUUAUCCUCCAAUUCGGCUGUCAGAGAGAGAGAGAGAGAAGAUGGGGGACUCGAGAAGUCGGAUUUCUCGGCCCGACGCCAUCGUCGACCCGCGGUUCUGCGCGUCGUACCCGAUCGACCUCACGUUCUUCAUCGACGCCGCCUGGUUGAAUUGUGACCACCUCGCGGUGACCGACAUCAACGGCAACGUCGUCUUCAAGGUCGAAGCCCGUAAGUGGAACCUCAGAAACAGGCAGGUGGUCGUCGACGCCUCCGGCAAGCCUGUGAUUUCGAUGCAGCAGAAGGUCCACCUCCUCAUCUCUGCUUCGCUUCCUUCUUUCUGCAAAGUCCAAGACUUUGACUCUGGUUGUUCUGUCAUGCAGCUGCGUAGCGUCCAUGACCGGUGGCAGGUCUUCAAGGGAGAUAGCUCGGAUCCUAAAGACCUGCUAUUUAGCGUCAGGAGGAGUUCUGCUCUCCAAUUCAAGACCGAGUUGGACGUGUUCUUAGCUGCCAACACGGAGGAGGAGGUGUGUGACUUCA
rnacentral:lncRNA from 1 species